GGUUGUGGAUGAUGAGAUCAUAUUUUUACACAGUUAUCCCUGUCUGAUAAAUUCGUGAUUGAUUCUUGUGAUCUGACACAGAA